AGCUGCGCGGUGAGCACAAAGCGAACUAUUCUUUCGCCUUUUACUAAAGAAUACCGUGUGCGCGCCGCAAAUAGCAGCAUACGCUAAUUUUUGGAGGGGAUUCUCCUUUAUAGGAGGGC
rnacentral:snRNA from 1 species